CUUAAAUUGAAGAGUUUGAUCAUGGCUCAGAUUGAACGCUGGCGGCAGGCCUAACACAUGCAAGUCGAGCGGUAGCACAGGAGAGCUUGCUCUCUGGGUGACGAGCGGCGGACGGGUGAGUAAUGUCUGGGAAACUGCCUGAUGGAGGGGGAUAACUACUGGAAACGGUAGCUAAUACCGCAUAACCUCGCAAGAGCAAAGAGGGGGACCUUCGGGCCUCUCGCCAUCAGAUGUGCCCAGAUGGGAUUAGCUAGUAGGUGAGGUAAUGGCUCACCUAGGCGACGAUCCCUAGCUGGUCUGAGAGGAUGACCAGCCACACUGGAACUGAGACACGGUCCAGACUCCUACGGGAGGCAGCAGUGGGGAAUAUUGCACAAUGGGCGCAAGCCUGAUGCAGCCAUGCCGCGUGUGUGAAGAAGGCCUUCGGGUUGUAAAGCACUUUCAGCGGGGAGGAAGGCGGUAAGGUUAAUAACCUUAUCGAUUGACGUUACCCGCAGAAGAAGCACCGGCUAACUCCGUGCCAGCAGCCGCGGUAAUACGGAGGGUGCAAGCGUUAAUCGGAAUGACUGGGCGUAAAGCGCACGCAGGCGGUCUGUUAAGUUGGAUGUGAAAUCCCCGGGCUUAACCUGGGAACUGCAUUCAAAACUGACAGGCUAGAGUCUUGUAGAGGGGGGUAGAAUUCCAGGUGUAGCGGUGAAAUGCGUAGAGAUCUGGAGGAAUACCGGUGGCGAAGGCGGCCCCCUGGACAAAGACUGACGCUCAGGUGCGAAAGCGUGGGGAGCAAACAGGAUUAGAUACCCUGGUAGUCCACGCUGUAAACGAUGUCGACUUGGAGGUUGUGCCCUUGAGGCGUGGCUUCCGGAGCUAACGCGUUAAGUCGACCGCCUGGGGAGUACGGCCGCAAGGUUAAAACUCAAAUGAAUUGACGGGGGCCCGCACAAGCGGUGGAGCAUGUGGUUUAAUUCGAUGCAACGCGAAGAACCUUACCUACUCUUGACAUCCAGAGAAUUUGCUAGAGAUAGCUUAGUGCCUUCGGGAACUCUGAGACAGGUGCUGCAUGGCUGUCGUCAGCUCGUGUUGUGAAAUGUUGGGUUAAGUCCCGCAACGAGCGCAACCCUUAUCCUUUGUUGCCAGCGAUUCGGUCGGGAACUCAAAGGAGACUGCCGGUGAUAAACCGGAGGAAGGUGGGGAUGACGUCAAGUCAUCAUGGCCCUUACGAGUAGGGCUACACACGUGCUACAAUGGCGUAUACAAAGAGAAGCGACCUCGCGAGAGUAAGCGGACCUCAUAAAGUACGUCGUAGUCCGGAUUGGAGUCUGCAACUCGACUCCAUGAAGUCGGAAUCGCUAGUAAUCGUAGAUCAGAAUGCUACGGUGAAUACGUUCCCGGGCCUUGUACACACCGCCCGUCACACCAUGGGAGUGGGUUGCAAAAGAAGUAGGUAGCUUAACCUUCGGGAGGGCGCUUACCACUUUGUGAUUCAUGACUGGGGUGAAGUCGUAACAAGGUAACCGUAGGGGAACCUGCGGUUGGAUCACCUCCUUACCAAAAAGA
rnacentral:rRNA from 2 species